AAUAAUAAUAAAAUAAUAAAAAGCAAUCGGUUAAUUCUCUCAGUAUUAAUAUUGGACUUAUAUGUAUUCGUCUAGGUAUCUAUGAACAAGUUUAACAGUGAUAUUUAAUAUCGUGGAUGAAAUUAACAGUGAAUAUAUCUGCAGUUUAUUUACCCUGAAAAGAUAAUGCUACGAAGAAACACGCUGCCAGAGGCAACUACAUAUUUGUACCGGAUGUGUCCACUGCACUUCCCACUUGUCUAGAUUGAUAAACAUUUAACGAGAUAAAGCAUGCUGCGCGGGUUAAUUGAUUUUCGGAUAAAAUAACGAGAGAGGUCUUGAAAUUCCAGACCAGUAUGACUUGAGACUUACGGAACGUUAUAUCGGUCGGGAUUAGCCCCAGUCCGUUAUAUGAUUCCGCACAUGUUUUUCUAAACAGAACACAUGGUCGGCAGAAAACAUUAUUAAUUCUUUAUUUUUAUAAUAUAUCCUGCUGAAGUUGGGUCGAUGUAGGAGUGCUAAGAAACGCAAGAUUCAUAUGAAGAGGAAGUCCACCACGUUCCCAACUACUUAUUAGUGCAGC
rnacentral:lncRNA from 1 species